rnacentral:rRNA from 1 species
CCUACGGGGGGCAGCAGUGAGGAAUAUUGGUCAAUGGACGAGAGUCUGAACCAGCCAAGUAGCGUGAAGGAUGACUGCCCUAUGGGUUGUAAACUUCUUUUAUAUGGGAAUAAAACGUUCCACGAGUGGGAUUUUGUAUGUACCAUAUGAAUAAGGAUCGGCUAACUCCAUGCCAGCAGCCGCGGUAAUACGGAGGAUCCGAGCGUUAUCCGGAUUUAUUGGGUUUAAAGGGAGCGUAGGUGGAUUGUUAAGUCAGUUGUGAAAGUUUGCGGCUCAACCGUAAAAUUGCAGUUGAAACUGGCAGUCUUGAGUACAGUAGAGGUGGGCGGAAUUCGUGGUGUAGCGGUGAAAUGCUUAGAUAUCACGAAGAACUCCGAUUGCGAAGGCAGUUCACUGGACUGCAACUGACACUGAGGCUCGAAAGUGUGGGUAUCAAACAGGAUUAGAUACCCUUGUAGUC